GAUGAACGCUGGCGGCGUGCCUAAUACAUGCAAGUCGAACGAACAGGCGAUGAGCUUGUGCCUCGGACGUUAGCCGAGGACGGGUGAGUAACAUGUGUAUAACCUACCUAUAAGACUGGGAUAACUUCGGGAAACCGGAGCUAAUACCGGAUAAUAUAUUGAACCGCGUGGUUCAUUAGUGAAAGACGGUGUUGCGGGCAGUUAUGGCUGGAUCCGCGCCUUAUCAGCUGGUUGGUAGUGUACGGGCUUACCAAGGCUACGACGCGUAGCCGGCCUGAGAGGGUGACCGGCCACAUUGGGACUGAGAUACGGCCCAGAAUCCUACGGGAGGCAGCAGUCGGGAAUAUUGCAGAAUGGGCGGGAGCCUGAUGCAGCAGCGCCGCGUGCGGGAUGACGGCCUUCGGGUUGUAAACCGAUUUCGCCGGUGACGAAGCGUGAGUGACGGUAAUGGGUAAAGAAGCACCGGCUAACUACGUG
rnacentral:rRNA from 1 species